rnacentral:rRNA from 1 species
UUGAUCCUGGCUCAGAAUCAACGCUGGCGGCGUGCCUAACACAUGCAAGUCGAACGCGAAAGUCCCGCAAGGGAUAAGUAGAGUGGCAAACGGGUGAGUUACACGUGGGUGACCUGCCUUCGAGUGGGGGAUAACGUCCCGAAAGGGACUCUAAUACCGCAUGACAUCCUGCCUUUGAACAGGCGGAGAUCAAAGCUGGUGAUCGCAAGACCUAGCGCUUGAAGAGGGGCCCGCGUCUGAUUAGCUAGUUGGUGAGGUAACGGCUCACCAAGGCUACGAUCAGUAUCCGGCCUGAGAGGUCGGACGGACACACUGGGACUGAGACACGGCCCAGACUCCUACGGGAGGCUGCAGUGGGGAAUUGUUCGCAAUGGGCGCAAGCCUGACGACGCAACGCCGUGUGGAGGAUGAAGACCUUCGGGUCGUAAACUCCUUUCGAUCGAGACGAAUGGCUUCCGGGUGAAUACCCCGGGAGAUUGACGGUACCGAGAGAAGAAGCUCCGGCUAACUCCGUGCCAGCAGCCGCGGUAAUAAGGU